rnacentral:rRNA from 1 species
CCCUUAGAUGUCCUGGGCCGCACGCGCGCUACACUGAUGCAUGCAACGAGUUUAUAACCUUGGCCUGAAAGGUCUGGGUAAUCUUUUGAACGUGCAUCGUGAUAGGGAUAGAUUAUUGCAAUUGUUAAUCUCGAACGAGGAAUUCCUAGUAAACGCGAGUCAUCAGCUCGCAUUGAUUACGUCCCUGCCCUUUGUACACACCGCCCGUCGCACCUACCGAUUGAAUGGUUCGGUGAAGAUCUCGGACUUCGAUAUUUAUUCUUUAUUGAGUUUAUAUUGUGGGAAGUUAUCUAAACCUCAUCAUUUAGAGGAAGGUGAAGUCGUAACA